UUCUUCGGGGCAGGGGGUAGUUCCCGACCGGCGGUAUAGUCCGCGAACGAAUUUAUUCGUUGAUUUGGUGAAAUUCCAAAACCGACAGUAUAGUCUGGAUGAGAGAAGA
rnacentral:ncRNA from 1 species